AUGAAUGAAUGCCCUUGUCCAUUGUCCAUCCCAGGAAGCAGGGACACUCGGGACCCUCCCUAUUCAUCUCGAUCCUCCGCCCGCUCGCCGGCCUGGAAUGAAUGCCUCCCUUUUACCCGCUCCGAGGAUGGCCGGGCCGGGUCGGGGGCAGACCGGGAGGAGGAGGGGAUCGGGGGCUGCCCUGGGCCCCCUCCCGGGUCUCCUAAAGGGUCAGCUUUUCCGGACGUGGGGAGUUUACCUCUUGGCGAAACUCAGCCUCGGCCACCUGAUGACCAGCCCCAGACCCUCCCGCCCCUUACCAACCAGGACACCCCAGACCGACACUCAGCCACCAGCACGUGGUCCAGGGGCCCCAGCUUCCCAUUGGUUGCUCGUCUCCUUCCUUCCCCGCGAUUGGCAGGGGCCCAGCCUCAGGUCCCCCCCUCCGCGCCCUACGGUGGUACAGCCUGCCGUGGCUUAGGCGGGGUGGGAAGGUCCACUGCGCCGCGGCGCGGGGGGGGGGGUGGGUCGGAAAGAGCCGGGCGAGGCGGAGGGAUCCCUUUGGAAUGUUUCCGUCGAAACCACCCGGGGCGGGGCGGCACGGCGCGGAUUGGCCACGAGCGUCGGACGGCCGCUUCUGAUUGGCGGGACGCGGGCGCCGGCCCCGCCCCCCUGGCCGCGGCUGCGGGAGAGGCCCGGCCCGGAGUUUGCGGAGGGCCGAGCGGGGCGCGCGUAGGGUGGCGGCGGCGGCGCAGGUUGUGUGCGUGAUCUCUUUGGACUCCCAUAAGCACCUUGAGAAACAGGAAUUCUGCCCAUUUUUUCGGAUGAGAAAACCGAGGCCCCAUCACAUGAAGUGACUUGCCCACGGCCACACAGCUGGUAAGUGGCAGGGGUGGGAUCUGAACCCAGGCCAUCCUGCCUCUUGUAGCCUGGAAGGCAACUUCAUUAAUCACUCACUUUCUUCACCACCACUAUUCCCUCCUCACAGGUAAGGCCAUGGAAACUAGCCUGAACCAGGGCAGCAAACGUAGGCAGAGUGAGGAGGCUGGGAACUGGUGAUCUGGAUGUGGGGGCCCUGGGAAAAGGGGGACGUUUGAAUCUUAGCAGCUGACUGAAAGAUGAUGGGACAGAUGGAACCAGUAGGAAAAAUCACCCUUUACGGAACCCUUAUUGUGCGCCCACAUGCGUGAUUUCCUUGGAGCUCAGAGAAGUUAAGACACUUGCCCAGGGUCACACAGCUCGUAAGUGGAAAAGCCAGGUUCCAGACUCAUGUUCUCAGCCUCCUGCUAAAAUGUAUGAGGAGCAGCAGAAGGAGAACCAGGGGAGGGGAUGAUGAGGAUUUGUGCUGGUUUUGUUUGUUUAAGCAUCAUUGAGUGUGAUGAAAUACCUUCAUACCCCGAGGCAAAAGUUUUGGUUCAUUCAGAAUUUUCUUUUUUGUCAAAUGUUCUGUGAGCGCCUUCUGCGAUGGGUGCUGGAGAUAGAGAGAUGGAUAACCGAUGAAAGGCUGGUCUCUUGGGCGCCUGGGUGGCUCGGUCAGUUAAGCGUCCCACUUCGGCUCAGGUCGUGAUCUCACGGUUCAUGAGUUCGAGCCCCACAUCGGGCUCUGCGCUGACAGCUCAGAGCCUGGAGCCUGCUUCAGAUUCCGUGUCUCCCUCUCUCUCUGCCCCUGCCCCGCUUGUGCUCUGUCACUCUCUGUCUCUCAAAAAUAAAUAAAAACAUUAAAAAAACAUUAAAGAAAAAAAAAAGACCGGUCACUUGAAAUGUCUAAGGAGUGCCCGCAAAUCAAGAAGAAAAAAGAUAGGCAUUAUGAUAAAAAACAAACUGAAUGAAUGCAAUUUUUAAAAGCGGGCAAAGACUUAAACAGGCAGUUUGCAACAGGACAAAUCCAACCAGUUCAUGAACGUGUUAACAGUUGUUCAGCAUCACUGAUGAUGAAGGGAGUAAAAACGAAACUGCGAUGAAAGGUGAGGGAGACACGCUCCGUGUCUGUGUGGCCGGAUGGAGCACCUACCCUGCACCCAGCACCAUGCUGGGAAGUGAGGGCUGAGGAUCACAGAGGUGGGGCUUGCGUGUUUGCUGGGGAGACAGUACCCCCUCGAGGGCAGGGACCACAGAGCCAGGCACGGGGACUGGUGGGCUAAUGACUAUUAGGAUCAUUCCUUCAUCCAUCCCUUCAUUCAUUCGACAAAUGCAUACUGAGCACCUGCUACACCCCCGGGCACUGUUUUCUGUGCUAAGAAUAUAGGGAUGAGCAAGGCAGACAGACUGCCUUGCCCUUUCCCAAAACAGUGAACGAGAACAGUGGAUGAAAUCUACAUCCCACCUGAAAGAGGUGUGACAGUCUCUGUGUGGAUGCCACAGGGCGCAGUCAAGUGCAAAAGCUCGGACACUCGAUUGUACCUGGUGUGUUAGAGGGGCAGGGACCGGGCCCGUGUGCCUGGGAAGACCGAGCAAGGGGGAGGGGGGGAGAAGGGGGGGGCAGGGAGGCGAGGGGGGCAGGUCUUUUGGGGCGUGUGGGUGGAGGGGAGGACGGUGACUUUUACUGUGAAUGAGGUGGGAGCCCCGGGAGGGGUCGAAGCAGAGGACAGAGGUGAGACGGGACUUGUGUUUUACAGGAUCAUUCUGGCUGCCGUGUUGACCGGAGACCGUGGAGGGUGAGGGCAGAAGCCGGGAGACUCGGAGGAGGCAACCGCACUAGUGUAGGUGAGAGAUGAUGGGGCUGGACCAGGUGCCCCUAGAGGAGGCGGUGGAGAGCAGACGAAUGAAUGCGGGAGCAAAUGAGCGGAUGCGUGAGUGUGAGUGCAGCGCACUGGGCUUGGCGGAAUCCGGGAGGGCUCCCUGGAAGAGGAGAGUUGAAGGGAGGGAGCGGGAAGUCCCCUUUACACAGAAGAUAUUGUGUGGCAUGAUGUGAUCCUCAGCACAGCCUGGCCAGGUGAGUGUACCCGUCUGUAGAACAGGCAUCCGAGGCCCAGGGAGAGUGAGUGGCCUAGGGAACCACUUUGCACGUGGGGGGCAGACAGACCCGAGAGUGCUGCCGGCUUCUGUGGCUUAGGGCGGCUUCUGUGGCUUAGGGUGCGUGGCUUGAAAAUGAAACCUGACCUCCUUCCCAUUCUGGGAAGCCGGCACGGUCGACCCCUCCUACGCCCAGCACUUCUUUACCCCCCCCCUUCCGCAUCGCUCUCUCUGUUCAGUUACACUGGCCCCUUGCUGCUCUGUGAGCAGAGUCCGCGAGUCUGCUCAGAGCCCUCCCGUGGCUGCCCCCUCGCUCAGAGCGAAAGCCUAAGUCCUUCCUGGGCCCUCAAGGCCCUGCCCGCUCUGCCCUAUCCCUCCCUGCCCUCACCUCCUCCUGCUGUCCCCCUCACCACUCUGUUCCAACCAUGCAGGCCCACUUGCUGUCCCUCAAACACAUGCCAAGCGUGUCCCCAUCUCAGGGCCUUUGCACUGGCGGUUCCCUCUGCCUGGAGCUGUCUUGCCUCACAUCGUUAUAUGGAGGCUUCUUCCUGUCAUUCGAGUCUCAAGUUCAGCUUCACCUGCUCAGAGAGGCCCUCCUUGAUUUUGUUGGUAGAAGCACUUAUCUUGUUUUAUUGUCUUCAUAGCACCCUUAGAAAUUAUACUAGGCUUUUACACAUUGGCUUGCUCACUGCGCAUUUCCUCUGGACUGUAUGCUUCGGAAAAGCGUGAACAGAACCCCAGCUGGUGUAUAUGGCACCCAGGAGAGAGUUAGAAAGAGGCAGGCCUUCCUCCCAGCAAACACAUCCAGCUUGGCACGUAGCUCGACGAGCCAGAGCAGAGGCUGAGUUUCAGUCCCACUUGCCACCUUGGUCGGGUGCUUUUGCACAGUGAACACCUGUGGAACUGCAUACAGUGCCCCUAGUCAGGGACCUUGGUCAUCUUACUGAAGGCAGUAUCUAAAAUGGUGCAUCGCAUAUAGUAAGUAUGCGAAGAUUCUAUUUGAAAGGAGGGUGGGAAGAGAAACUGAGAGAAUCGCAGUAGGAGAAAGAAAGAAAGUGUAUCAGGACAAGUUUUGCUACAGUAGCGACAACCUCCAAAAUCUUAGUGGCUGAAUUCCACAAAGGUUUUUUUAGUCCUGCUACAUCUCCAUUGCAGCUCAGUAGGGGGUUCCAUUCGUCAUAGUCCGUUGUCACUCGGGGCCAGGCUGAUGGCGCUGCCACCUGGACAAAUGUGUCAGGUCACCCUGCCUGGGAGAUGCAGACCCCCAGAGGCUCUUGAUCUAGUACUGAAAUGCUUCAGCCCAGAAAUGCCAUGUGUCCCCUCCUCUCACAGCUCAUUGGCCAGAACUAGUCAUAUGCCUGCCCAGUCACAGGGAGGUCAGUAAAUGUCACCUGGCUGUGUGCUUUGAAGGGAGAGUCGGAAACUUUUUGUGCACGGCACCAGUGACUGCAACCAGUAGAAAGAGAAGGAGAAACUGGAGGCACCUGGGCGGCUCAGUCAGUGAAGCAUCUGCCUCUUGAUUUCAGCUCAGGUUCUUGAUCUCAGGGUCGUGGGCUCAAGCCCCGUGUUGGGCUCCGCACUCGGUGUGAAACCUACUUUAAAAAAAUAAUAAUGAGGGGCGCCUGGGUGGCGCAG
ensembl:lncRNA